rnacentral:rRNA from 1 species
CCUACGGGAGGCAGCAGUGGGGAAUUUUGGACAAUGGGCGCAAGCCCGAUCCAGCAAUGCCGCGUGAGUGAAGAAGGCCUUCGGGUUGUAAAGCUCUUUUGUCAGGGAAGAAACGGUGGGAGCUAAUAUCUCCCGCUAAUGACGGUACCUGAAGAAUAAGCACCGGCUAACUACGUGCCAGCAGCCGCGGUAAUACGUAGGGUGCAAGCGUUAAUCGGAAUUACUGGGCGUAAAGCGUGCGCAGGCGGUUUUGUAAGUCUGUCGUGAAAGCCCCGGGCUCAACCUGGGAAUUGCGAUGGAGACUGCAAGGCUUGAAUCUGGCAGGAGGGGGGUAGAAUUCCACGUGUAGCAGUGAAAUGCGUAGAGAUGUGGAGGAACACCGAUGGCGAAGGCAGCCCCCUGGGUCAAGAUUGACGCUCAUGCACGAAAGCGUGGGGAGCAAACAGGAUUAGAUACCCUGGUAGUCCACGCCCUAAACGAUGUCUACUAGUUGUUCGGUUUAAUUACUUGGUAACGCAGACUACGCGUGAGUAGACCGCCGNGGAGGUACGGUCGCGAGAAUAAACUACAAGUAGUAGUAGNGCGNGAGAGUGACGACGACGACGACGAGGGAGGAGG